rnacentral:misc_RNA from 1 species
AGCUAUGGGAGCUCAAAAAGCUAUCGAAAAAAUCUGCCCUCCAAACACGCUAGGCGUAUGCAAUCUUUUCCGAACCAGCGGUGAAAGACGCCAAGAGAUACUUAAUGGUGCAAAGCAGGUGCAAUUUAUAGAUGCCACUAAGCAGCCCUUCUUUUUCACAGAAACUGGACAAAGUGACCGUGGUUAUCAUAUAUGGGAACCUCUUGAAAGGCCAGAACUACCAGGCACAUAUUAUCUUGAAGAUGUUGGAAGCUACAACGAUACUGAUUAUUUGAAAAUAGACGCAAGAUAUGACCCCAAGUGGUAUGCUCCUUGCGAGGGAGUUGCGUCUUGCACCUGCCCUUUCCCCGAGUAUCAGCCUUCCAGGUACAUGCUCAACGCCUCCGACAACCAGCUAAAUGUCGUGUACUUGUCAGAUAUUCACGAAUCUGAUCCCAAUAAUCCUUACAGCUUGUGGAAAGAUAGACACUGGAGGAAAUUUCCAGAAUCUGAUGGCAUUCUUUUAUGCCCUGAACGUUGUCAACCAGUAUGUAAACCUCCCAGCCACCCUUAAGCUUGGCGGUCUGGCAUUAGACACAUGCUCAACCCCAGGUAGAAUAGGACAGGAUUUAUAUAGUUUACUCAGUGGCGAAGGACUUUGUGGUGAGGAGGGAGUUGGCCAGGUAGUAGAUCCAUCGACCAUCAUUGUGCAGUUGGCCAAGAACUCUCAAAAUGCUAUCGCAGCCAGUAGUAUUUUGUCUCCUUUGAAAAUUACUAGCAUGAGUCAAAGUGCAACUGCUGUGGAACUCAGCGAUAAAACCAUCCACAAUUACUUCCUCCGAACUGUCCCUCCCGACAAUAUUCAAGCAGUUGCUAUGGCGGAAGUCAUCAAACAGUUUGGAUGGGAUUACAUAUCGGCCGUCUAUACGGAGAACCCCUAUGGAAAAUCUGCUAUUAAAACUUUCCUCGAAAAUACAUCCGCAAACAAAAAAACUUGUACUACUCUUACAUUAUCCAUGAAGACGGAUGCCACAUUAGCCGAUGCUAAAACGGUCAUUGACAAUCUGAACCAGAGAGUUGGUGCUAGGGUUAUUGUUCUGUUUGUAACAGCCAGUCACGCUAGACUUCUAUUGCAAGCGACUUCAGAAAAAGGUCUGAACCAACGAUUCAUCUGGUUUGGGAGCGACACGUGGGCUAAUGAUAUGUCUGUUGUUAAAGGCUAUGAAGAUGUUGCACAGGGUGCCCUAACUAUUCAAAUCAAAUCCGAAGUCAUCAACAGCUUUAAAGAAUUUCUCCAGACUCUUACUUUCCAAAAUCGCCACGGUUUGCCAACCGAUUGGUUUGAAGAUAUUUACCAAACAAUGCACCAAUGUAGAAUUCUCACUAGCGCUGUUAGAAAAACCUACACAAAUAUAUGCACCGGGAACGAGAAAAUCACAGAUGCAAUGAUACCUCAGGAUCCAUAUGUACUUCACACCAUCAUAUCCGUGUUUAUGAUUGCACAAGGAUUAAACCGCAUUGAAGCCUGUAAGUCAUCAAACUUGGGAAUUUCCUCUUGCCUGUCUCUUCAAGAUGAUAAAUUGGAUCUUAUUUUCAAAGGAAUCUCUGAUGCUCAGUAUCGAGUCCUGCCAGAUGAUUUGGGCGACAAAUCCUUCAAUUUUAGAUUUAAUGAUGAUGGAUAUGGAGACGUUGGCUAUAAUAUUCUUAACUUUCACAGAGAUCCAACGACGGGUCAAUUCGUGUAUGAACAGAUUGGUAGUUACCAGCAGGAACUGGUCCUCCAGAAGACUCGCUACCAGGCCUUUAGCUUUGCUCUAUCCCGGGCUCCACCUUCUUCUUUGUGUCCCAUCGGAGGUCGAUGCGUCUGUCAAAACGCAGACGGAACAACGUACUUCCAGGAGCACGAGGGAACGCCAGGUGUGUCCUACUACAAACUAGACGACGGAAGCUACGUCAAUGCCCAGACAGGACAAAUAAUCCAAGUAGAGAGUGCCCCUGAAAUCGACGAUAGAUUUAGGGAUAUAUGGGGCAUUAUUGUGGCAACCUUGGCUGGUAUUGGUGUGUUUGCUUCUCUUUGCAUCUUCAUAUACUUACUGGUCAACUACCCAUUCAAGAGUGGAACAACAGUAUUGGGUUUCAUGUUGUCCUUUGGAAUUGUUUUAGUGUACGCUAUGGUGUUUGCUUUCAUUGUACACGCCACUGAAGAAGUAUGCGGUCUCCGAAGAUUCUGUCUAGGGCUUGUCUAUGCAAUCUGUUACAGUGCCUUGUUUAUUAAGGUUGUGGACUGUUGGCGAAACAAAGAGAAGGAAGUCGAAUAUUCUAAUUCUUACAAAAAGCUCGGCAAACCUUUGGGUCUCUUCUUUGUUGCAUGCUUACUAGUGCUGAUUCAGUGCUUGAUAAAUGCUGAGUGGUUGAUCCUGGAAGAACCAAAAAUGGAGCGCGUCAUAUACAACAACAUGCUCUGGCCGCGUUGUACGCCCGACGACUUCUACGACGAAGGUCUUGUUCUGUCUCUUGUGUAUAUAAUGGUCAUCAUAAGUCUCAGUGUCAUUCUUGGUAUCCUGUCAUGGAGAUCGAUCAAAAACCACAGGGAGGUGCGAUGGAUUCUGGGAAUCUUCGCUUUGGGCAUUCCAGUUUGGGUCGUUUCUUGUAUUGUUGCCACGCUGGGAGAAUACAAAAUGCGUGAUCCUGCCAUUGCUAUAGGUUUGCUGAUGAACGCCACUAUUAUGUUUGUAUUAGGUCCACUGCGCAGAGUAUAUCUCCUCAAUAGUUUUGAUACCAAACUGGAGCGGGAGUCCCAAGUAGACGAUAGAAGUAUUCGAGGUUCAGUGUAUGGCAGACAAUACGACAAUGUUGGUAUGCUUCAUGAUACCAACUCUGUUCGAGGAAGCAUGAAUGCCCAGGAACAAAUGUACUAUCCAGAGAGAAAUUUGCCAUAUUGAGAAUCAGUUUGCUCCAAAGAAGAACUAGACCUGAAUGGAUAUCAAAAUGUGCAGACGGAAUGUUUUAGAACAUCUAGAGCUUUCCGUUGUGUCUUGCCGAAAUUUUCUCAUGUACAAUAUUUAGUGGUGCUUCUUUGCACUCGUAAACAGUGAUCUUUUCGUAUAUUUAACUCUUAUACAAAGGACAUACAAGUACCUCUCAUUGCGAUAUUCGUCAGGUGAUUGUCCACUGCAGAAAAUUAAGAUUAUGUAAAACCGUCAACUUUUUAAUGCUUCGAGUUUCUAAGUGCUGAAAAGGGGAAUUGUUUCUUAUUGUGAGUAAGUGUAUGUGGUAAAUGAAUAACUAGAUAAUGAAUAGCACGCAUUAAGAUUGUGUAUAUACUUUCAUUGCUACAUCGCGUAUGAGUGCUGAGAGAAAUGAUAUUUAUCUGCAUUAUUUUUGUAUAUCGUUGUUUAUGAAUUUUGAUAUUUUAAAUAUAGAAUUUUGUAUAUUUU